CCCACCUUUCAAUAACAAAAAGUAUUUACUCACUUUGGUUUCACCAAAAUAACGAGUGGUGCAUGCAAUCCUGACAUUAAAAAAAGGUAGCGACCCCACCUCCCAAAACAUCCAACUACCAAAGGAAAUGCUUUAGUUAGAUACAGGGAAUUGAAUUUCCCAUCAUGGUACAUCAACAUUUUAGCUUGAAUCCUACAAUGAGAAAGGAAAUUCAUCUAAUCAAUAAUUGAUGUGCAAAAACAGCAAAGUUUUUGCUCUAAUCUUGGAGGAUAUAAAUGAAAAGUUUCUCAAUCAGUGAAAAUAAGAUGAAAAGUUAGAAGAAAAACAAAAAAGGAACCACACUCAAUUGGUUCGCUGUUGGUGGAAAUGGAUGCAUCAUUAUAGAAGGGGUCAGAGUUGAGAUUAGUGCAUAGCUUAUUAUGAAAGCAAUUAAUAUUAUUCGUUAGCAGAAUAAGCUCUUUCUUUUCCUAAACCUAUCAAUACGAUCAGUGCUUAUACGAGAUUUCUCAGGCUCGUUUGCUUUUCACUUUGCCCUUUUCUCUUUUAAUUCUCAAGCAAACUAUCUAAACUGUUUCGGGAAGAUGGGCAGCCAAUUUGAAUGAAUCUGAAUGCUAGUUUCAGAUGGUUUGUUCUGAUAGUCAAUUUCUACUCAGCUUUGUCAGAACCAUUAGUUGAUGCUUUUGAUUUUCCACGUGACUGUACAAAUUUCUAUAAAUGUUUGAUGAACUCAGAGUGGAGCUCUAGAUUGCAGUGCCCGCUACCACUGAGUCAUAUAGGUUCGUACUUUUCCUUGCAAAGCUCCCAAAGCUGCUUUCCAAAGGAUCAAUCAACAACUUCUUCAGCUGUCCCCUGCAAGACAAACACAUUAGGGAGAAGACGAAGUCGUUGAGGAGAAGGCCUGGUCGGGAGAAGACGAAUUCGAAGAUGAAGAAGAAGAAAAGGGAGAAUAGUGUACUGUGUCGGGGAGACGAAGAAGAAAAGAUGAAAAUUAAAUCAAUUAGAGAACUUAAUUUAAGAGGAAAAGAAGAAAUUAAAAGUAAAAAAAA